rnacentral:lncRNA from 1 species
AUCAGCUAUAUGUGAGUUGAAAUUCUACAUUCAUGGAAAGUUAUUUUGCAGUGGCUUACCUUGCAAUUGCUUCAAUUUAAGAAAUGACCCAAUCGACAUUUCAAAGUACAGAUAAAUUUUCUCAAAGAGGCUGGAUAUGGCCGGUCUCAAGCCCAUCACCGUAUCGGUCAGUUAGCUAUGACUCAUACUCGCAAAUUCCAAAAAGUACGUGUAUAUAUAUAUAUAUAUAUUCGUAUACAUUUAUCUGCCUAAAUAUUAAUUAGGGAAACUAUAAAUCCUUUGACCUUAGCAUUACAUAUUUUUCCUUGAUUUGGGCAAUUUUGUUUUUACUUUUGUAGUUUAUUGUAGCUACAACCCUGCAAAUGAUAUAAGGAUUCAAUUUUUAUUUGGGGUUUAUAUGCUUUAGGUUUCUGAGAAAUCAAACCAUGUGUGUAUCCAUCUUUGGGUCUUCUUGGAAUGGAUGCAAAGUAAAGAAAACAAUUUUAUUUGUGUUUUUAUGCUAUGGCUACCCCCAUUUCCCAUACAGCACUUAGGAAGAACUUACAAUCAUUAACACCUUGGUAAAACAAAAGGCUAAUUAUUGAGAAAAAAAAUGACAUCCAAGCAGGUUGGUGAAUAUGAACUUUUUAGUUUUUACUGGAAAUUAAUUGGCAAUUAGUCAUCAAUGCCAACAUAUAUUAAACAAUGCUAAUAUAUGUUGGCAUUGAUCACGUCUAGCCCCUAAAAAGUACACUUGAAAUUAUAAAAUAACUACAAAACAUAAUACAGUUUGUUUUGGGGAGAACAUGAUGUUGAUAUAUCUUAGUCCUUUUGUUGUAAGAUAUACUCUUCUAUUGUUGAAACAAUUGUUGGGUUGAUUUAUGAAUAGUAAAGGUGUAUUCCUACAAUUAUUUAGGACAUUCUUUUUACUAGAGAUGUAUCAUGUAUAGGCAUUCAUUACAUUAUACAUGUGUAAGGCUCAAGAUAAAUUUGGAAUUGUAACAGGGAAUUGGGGUUGUGGUGCUUUUGGCGGAGAUCUUGAACUAAACGCCAUAAUUUAGUGGAUUGCUGCUUCUCAGGUGAUUACUCUUCCGAUCAUUUGUUAGCAACUUUGCUUUUUUGUUAUCUGUUCAAUUACUAAUGGUUAGAAUCAUCCAAUUUUGUGCAUGAUCAUGUCCAUAAAUUUCAUUAUAAUAAGCUUUUUCUAAUAGAGGUUGUACAUUCAACUAAUGAUCACUAAAACAAACUAAAAAUAACUUCUGUACUUUUCAAAAGAAAAAAAGAAGCUAACAUUGUUGAAUUGUUGUUUGCUAUAGAAUUGUCUUGAUAUUUUUUUGCAUAUUGAAUUUCCUCAUAUUGUGGUUUUGUAUGUUAUUUGGUGCUAAUUAUAUAUCAUCUGGAAUGGUAUAAUGAUGCUCAUGUGUAAAUUUUCAGAUUGCUAUUUAAAUAUGUUGGACUUUGGUCAAGUUUGGAGUCUAUGUUGUGACUAUUUAAAAAUUUGUUUUUGAUCCUAUAAUUUGUUUAUAUUUGAUUUGAAAUAAUUGAAUUUGGUAAUGACCAUACAAGUGAUGCAAAACCUGAACGAUGAAGAAAAUUACCCAAUUUAUAAACUAGGGAGUUACCCUUUUGUUGAUGAGACUUAUGAAUUGUCGAUGGAAGCCAGAUGGAUGUGAUAUUCCAAGGUUAGUGUUCUUCGAUCCCAUAUUUAAUAACGUGAUAAAGGUUUGCUUUCUUUAUAUUUAUUUUCCUAUCGAAUGUUAUGAGAGUAUACUAAUGUAUGGAAUUAUCUGGAUGAUUUUCUGCAUAUUGAAUUUCCUCAUUGUACUUUUGUAUGUUGAUGCUAAUUAUAUAUCAUCUGGAAUAGUAUAAUGAUGCUCAUGUGUAAAUUUUCAGAUUGUUUUUUAAAUCAAAUGGACUUUGGUCAAGUGUGGAGUAUAUGCUGUGACUAUUUAAAAAUUUGUUUUUGAUCUUAUAGUACAGUACUAAUAUGCUUCCUCUUUUUUUUCUUUUUCAGCCCCUGCACUUAGCUAUAUAAUGUGCAUGAGAACUUCUUUGUCCCCUCUUUUAUGAACUCAAUCAAUGAUUUUAUUAAGUAUCAUAUUAAGUUUGAGACUUAUUCAUUAUAUAGCUGAGGUAUCAUUUUAGAUGACAUUGGCCUGGAAACAACGCUUGCCAAGUUAAUGCAACUCUAUAUUCUUCUUAUAUGACUAUAUCUAAAGGUAAUAAAUCUAUUCACAAGUAUAAAAUUUGAGCAACAAUUAUAUAUAUAUAUAUAUAUAUAUAUAUAUAUAUAUAUAUAUAUAUAUAUAUAUGUAUAUAAACAUAAAAUGGGUAACAUAGUUUAAUGAUGGAGUAUUGACUCUCUAAAUCCUCUUUCUACUUUGUGCUAAUUUAGUUUCUGUACAGUUUUCUUUCUUGAAGUUGGUGGAGCGACAUUUGCUUCUCAUUAUGCAUUCGUCGUCGUGUAUGGAAUGAAUAAAAGCGUUGACCUUGGUGGGUCAGAAGAAGAAAUUUAUCAAUUUCUAUUUUAACCCUCAAUUAAUGUGCAAGUCAGAAGGUAAGAGUUAUUAAAAAAAAUUAUUUGAUAAAGACUUUUCCAAUAGUAUGGUUGAAUUUAUGUUUUCAUGUAAUGGAAAUACAAGUACAUGAACUCUUACAAAUUUCUGUAAUCUUAUGAAAUCAAGACAAGUCAUUUAAUUAUAUUGGAUCUUGACAUUUUUUUUAAGUAGCCAUUUACAGAUUUGUAAUAAAUGAAAUUUCUCCUAUUUCUUUCUGUGUUAGAUGUUUGUUUAUUGAUAUUCUAUAAAUUUUACUUAUCA